rfam:Salmo salar isolate Sally breed double haploid chromosome ssa09, whole genome shotgun sequence.
UGUAUUCACUACUGUAAGUCGCUCUAGAUAAGAGCGUCUGCUAAAUGACUAAAC